CGCCUAACACAUGCAAGUCGAACGAAGUAGCAAUACUUAGUGGCAGACGGGUGAGUAACAUGUGGGUAUCUGCCCUUUGGCCUGGAAUAACACGAGGAAACUUGUGCUAAUACCGGAUAAGUCUUUACGGAGAAAGCUUUAUGCACCAUUGGAUGAGCCCGCACUUGAUUAGUUAGUUGGUAGGGUAAUGGCCUACCAAGACUGUGAUCAAUAGCUGAUUUGAGAGGAUGAUCAGCCACAUUGGGACUGAGACACGGCCCAAACUCCUACGGGAGGCAGCAGUGGGGAAUCUUGCACAAUGGAGGAAACUCUGAUGCAGCGAUGCCGCGUGAGUGAAGAAGGCCCUUGGGUUGUAAAGCUCUUUCGUCGGGGAAGAAAAUGACUGUACCCGAAUAAGAAGGUCCGGCUAACUUCGUGCCAGCAGCCGCGGUAAUACGAAGGGACCUAGCGUAGUUCGGAAUUACUGGGCUUAAAGAGUUCGUAGGUGGUUGAAAAAGUUAGUGGUGAAAUCCCAGAGCUUAACUCUGGAACUGCCAUUAAAACUUUUCAGCUAGAGUAUGAUAGAGGAAAGCAGAAUUUCUAGUGUAGAGGUGAAAUUCGUAGAUAUUAGAAAGAAUACCAAUUGCGAAGGCAGCUUUCUGGAUCAUUACUGACACUGAGGAACGAAAGCAUGGGUAGCGAAGAGGAUUAGAUACCCUCGUAGUCCAUGCCGUAAACGAUGUGUGUUAGACGUUGGAAAUUUAUUUUCAGUGUCGCAGCGAAAGCGAUAAACACACCGCCUGGGGAGUACGACCGCAAGGUUA
rnacentral:rRNA from 1 species